rnacentral:lncRNA from 1 species
AAAACUCUAGUCCUUGGUUCGGCCAUCGCGGUACGGAUCAAGGUGCUUGUUUCAUCUACCCAGAAUGUUUGUCCUUGAUUCGGCCAUCGCGGUACAAAUUAAGGAGCAUGUUAUAUUACCUUAAAUUUGUCUUUGAUUCGGCCAUCGCGGUACAAAUCAAGGAGCACGUUAUAUCACCUCAAAACUAUAGCCUUUGGUUCGGCCAUUGCGGUACAAACCAAGGUGCUCAUUUUAUCUACCCAUAAGAUUUUUCGUCCUUGGUUGGGCCAUCUGGUACAAACCAAGGAGCGUGUCACAUCGAUCCAUCUCAAAAUUUUAUCUUUGGUUCGGCCAUCGUAGUACGAGUCAAGGAAAAAUGUAUGGUUCUUUGCGUGAAACAUAUACUCCGUCCAAAUGAUUUUCUUUUGGCUCGGUCCCCUUAG